GGUUAAGCGACUAAGCGUACACGGUGGAUGCCCUGGCAGUCAGAGGCGAUGAAGGACGUGCUAAUCUGCGAUAAGCGUCGGUAAGGUGAUAUGAACCGUUAUAACCGGCGAUUUCCGAAUGGGGAAACCCAGUGUGAUUCGUCACACUAUCAUUAACUGAAUCCAUAGGUUAAUGAGGCGAACCGGGGGAACUGAAACAUCUAAGUACCCCGAGGAAAAGAAAUCAACCGAGAUUCCCCCAGUAGCGGCGAGCGAACGGGGAGGAGCCCAGAGCCUGAAUCAGUGUGUGUGUUAGUGGAAGCGUCUGGAAAGGCGCGCGAUACAGGGUGACAGCCCCGUACACAAAAAUGCACAUGCUGUGAGCUCGAUGAGUAGGGCGGGACACGUGGUAUCCUGUCUGAAUAUGGGGGGACCAUCCUCCAAGGCUAAAUACUCCUGACUGACCGAUAGUGAACCAGUACCGUGAGGGAAAGGCGAAAAGAACCCCGGCGAGGGGAGUGAAAAAGAACCUGAAACCGUGUACGUACAAGCAGUGGGAGCACGCUUAGGCGUGUGACUGCGUACCUUUUGUAUAAUGGGUCAGCGACUUAUAUUCUGUAGCAAGGUUAACCGAAUAGGGGAGCCGAAGGGAAACCGAGUCUUAACUGGGCGUUAAGUUGCAGGGUAUAGACCCGAAACCCGGUGAUCUAGCCAUGGGCAGGUUGAAGGUUGGGUAACACUAACUGGAGGACCGAACCGACUAAUGUUGAAAAAUUAGCGGAUGACUUGUGGCUGGGGGUGAAAGGCCAAUCAAACCGGGAGAUAGCUGGUUCUCCCGAAAGCUAUUUAGGUAGCGCCUCGUGAAUUCAUCUCCGGGGUAGAGCACUGUUUCGGCAAGGGGUCAUCCCGACUUACCAACCCGAUGCAAACUACGAAUACCGGAGAAUGUUAUCACGGGAGACACACGGCGGGUGCUAACGUCCGUCGUGAAGAGGAAACAACCCAGACCGCCAGCUAAGGUCCCAAAGUCAUGGUUAAGUGGGAAACGAUGUGGGAAGGCCCAGACAGCCAGGAUGUUGGCUUAGAAGCAGCCAUCAUUUAAAGAAAGCGUAAUAGCUCACUGGUCGAGUCGGCCUGCGCGGAAGAUGUAACGGGGCUAAACCAUGCACCGAAGCUGCGGCAGCGACGCUUAUGCGUUGUUGGGUAGGGGAGCGUUCUGUAAGCCUGCGAAGGUGUGCUGUGAGGCAUGCUGGAGGUAUCAGAAGUGCGAAUGCUGACAUAAGUAACGAUAAAGCGGGUGAAAAGCCCGCUCGCCGGAAGACCAAGGGUUCCUGUCCAACGUUAAUCGGGGCAGGGUGAGUCGACCCCUAAGGCGAGGCCGAAAGGCGUAGUCGAUGGGAAACAGGUUAAUAUUCCUGUACUUGGUGUUACUGCGAAGGGGGGACGGAGAAGGCUAUGUUGGCCGGGCGACGGUUGUCCCGGUUUAAGCGUGUAGGCUGGUUUUCCAGGCAAAUCCGGAAAAUCAAGGCUGAGGCGUGAUGACGAGGCACUACGGUGCUGAAGCAACAAAUGCCCUGCUUCCAGGAAAAGCCUCUAAGCAUCAGGUAACAUCAAAUCGUACCCCAAACCGACACAGGUGGUCAGGUAGAGAAUACCAAGGCGCUUGAGAGAACUCGGGUGAAGGAACUAGGCAAAAUGGUGCCGUAACUUCGGGAGAAGGCACGCUGAUAUGUAGGUGAAGUCCCUCGCGGAUGGAGCUGAAAUCAGUCGAAGAUACCAGCUGGCUGCAACUGUUUAUUAAAAACACAGCACUGUGCAAACACGAAAGUGGACGUAUACGGUGUGACGCCUGCCCGGUGCCGGAAGGUUAAUUGAUGGGGUUAGCGCAAGCGAAGCUCUUGAUCGAAGCCCCGGUAAACGGCGGCCGUAACUAUAACGGUCCUAAGGUAGCGAAAUUCCUUGUCGGGUAAGUUCCGACCUGCACGAAUGGCGUAAUGAUGGCCAGGCUGUCUCCACCCGAGACUCAGUGAAAUUGAACUCGCUGUGAAGAUGCAGUGUACCCGCGGCAAGACGGAAAGACCCCGUGAACCUUUACUAUAGCUUGACACUGAACAUUGAGCCUUGAUGUGUAGGAUAGGUGGGAGGCUUUGAAGUGUGGACGCCAGUCUGCAUGGAGCCGACCUUGAAAUACCACCCUUUAAUGUUUGAUGUUCUAACGUUGACCCGUAAUCCGGGUUGCGGACAGUGUCUGGUGGGUAGUUUGACUGGGGCGGUCUCCUCCUAAAGAGUAACGGAGGAGCACGAAGGUUGGCUAAUCCUGGUCGGACAUCAGGAGGUUAGUGCAAUGGCAUAAGCCAGCUUGACUGCGAGCGUGACGGCGCGAGCAGGUGCGAAAGCAGGUCAUAGUGAUCCGGUGGUUCUGAAUGGAAGGGCCAUCGCUCAACGGAUAAAAGGUACUCCGGGGAUAACAGGCUGAUACCGCCCAAGAGUUCAUAUCGACGGCGGUGUUUGGCACCUCGAUGUCGGCUCAUCACAUCCUGGGGCUGAAGUAGGUCCCAAGGGUAUGGCUGUUCGCCAUUUAAAGUGGUACGCGAGCUGGGUUUAGAACGUCGUGAGACAGUUCGGUCCCUAUCUGCCGUGGGCGCUGGAGAACUGAGGGGGGCUGCUCCUAGUACGAGAGGACCGGAGUGGACGCAUCACUGGUGUUCGGGUUGUCAUGCCAAUGGCACUGCCCGGUAGCUAAAUGCGGAAGAGAUAAGUGCUGAAAGCAUCUAAGCACGAAACUUGCCCCGAGAUGAGUUCUCCCUGACCCUUUAAGGGUCCUGAAGGAACGUUGAAGACGACGACGUUGAUAGGCCGGGUGUGUAAGCGCAGCGAUGCGUUGAGCUAACCGGUACUAAUGAACCGUGAGGCUUAACCUU
rnacentral:rRNA from 1 species